rnacentral:rRNA from 1 species
AUCGGUGACAGGUGGUGCAUGGUUGUCGUCAGCUCGUGUCGUGAGAUGUGGGUUAAGUCCCGCAACGAGCGCAACCCCUAUUGUUAGUUGUCAUCAUUCAGUUGGGCACUCUAGCGAGACUGCCGGUAAUAAACCGGAGGAAGGUGGGGAUGACGUCAAAUCAUCAUGCCCCUUAUGACCUGGGCUACACACGUGCUACAAUGGUUGGUACAACGAGUUGCGAGUCGGUGACGGCGAGCUAAUCUCUUAAAGCCAAUCUCAGUUCGGAUUGUAGGCUGCAACUCGCCUACAUGAAGUCGGAAUCGCUAGUAAUCGCGGAUCAGCACGCCGCGGUGAAUACGUUCCCGGGCCUU